ACUGAGGAAAAGGUGAAGCUGCCAGCAUGAUCUAGCUUUGGUUAGAAAUAUGAAUAGAGAAAAAGAAAGGGUUCGAAACUAAGUUGCUAACCCUAGCUAGGUCAUGCUCUGACAGCCUCACUCCUUCCUAUU
rnacentral:pre_miRNA from 1 species